UACGGAGGAUCCAAGCGUUAUCCGGAUUUAUUGGGUUUAAAGGGUGCGUAGGCGGCCAACUAAGUCAGACGUGAAAUCCCUCGGCUCAACCGGGGAACUGCGUCUGAUACUGGAUGGCUUGAAUUCGGGAGAGGGAUGCGGAAUUCCAGGUGUAGCGGUGAAAUGCGUAGAUAUCUGGAGGAACACCGGUGGCGAAGGCGGCAUCCUGGACCGAGAUUGACGCUGAUGCGCGAAAGCCAGGGGAGCAAACGGG
rnacentral:rRNA from 1 species